rnacentral:rRNA from 1 species
GAUGAACGCUGGCGGCGUGCCUAAUACAUGCAAGUCGAGCGAACAGACGAGGAGCUUGCUCCUUUGACGUUAGCGGCGGACGGGUGAGUAACACGUGGGUAACCUACCUAUAAGACUGGGAUAACUUCGGGAAACCGGAGCUAAUACCGGAUAAUAUUUCGAACCGCAUGGUUCGAUAGUGAAAGAUGGCUUUGCUAUCACUUAUAGAUGGACCUGCGCCGUAUUAGCUAGUUGGUAAGGUAACGGCUUACCAAGGCAACGAUACGUAGCCGACCUGAGAGGGUGAUCGGCCACACUGGAACUGAGACACGGUCCAGACUCCUACGGGAGGCAGCAGUAGGGAAUCUUCCGCAAUGGGCGAAAGCCUGACGGAGCAACGCCGCGUGAGUGAUGAAGGUCUUCGGAUCGUAAAACUCUGUUAUUAGGGAAGAACAAACGUGUAAGUAACUGUGCACGUCUUGACGGUACCUAAUCAGAAAGCCACGGCUAACUACGUGCCAGCAGCCGCGGUAAUACGUAGGUGGCAAGCGUUAUCCGGAAUUAUUGGGCGUAAAGCGCGCGUAGGCGGUUUUUUAAGUCUGAUGUGAAAGCCCACGGCUCAACCGUGGAGGGUCAUUGGAAACUGGAAAACUUGAGUGCAGAAGAGGAAAGUGGAAUUCCAUGUGUAGCGGUGAAAUGCGCAUAGAUAUGGAGGAACACCUGUGGCGAAGGCUACUUUCUGGUCUGUAACUGACGCUGAUGUGCGAAAGCGUGGGGAUCAAACAGGAUUACAUACCCUGGUAGUCCACGCCGUAAACGAUGAGUGCUAAGUGUUAGGGGGUUUCCGCCCCUUAGUGCUGCAGCUAACGCAUUACGCACUCCGCCUGGGGAGUACGACCGCAAGGUUGAAACUCUAAGGAAUUGACGGCCACCCGCACAAGCGGUGGAUCAUGUGGUUUAAUUCGAAUCAACGCGAAUAACCUUACCAAAUCUUGACAUCCUUUGACCCUUCUAGUACAUCGAACUUUCCCCUUCGGUGGACAAAGUGACUGGUGGUGCAUGGUCGUCCCUCGCUCGUGUCGUGAUAUGUUGGCUUAAAUCCCCCCACGAUCGUAUCCCUUAUGCUUUAUCCGCCUUCAUUAUGUUGGGCUACUCUAAUUUGACUGCCGGUGACAAACCGGAUGAAGGUGGUGAUGUAUUCUAUUCUUCUUGCCCUUAUGAGUUGUGCUAUAGACGUUUUACUUUGGAUAAUUCUAAGGGCAUUUUAAUCCCCUAGGUCUAUUUUAUCCCAUAAAGUUUGUUCUCAGGUCAGAUUGA